rnacentral:lncRNA from 1 species
AUGCCGGGGCUGGGCUGGGAGACUCUCCGCUGCACACUGGAGAGGCCCUCGCCUCUCGUCACUGGAAGGGGCCUGUCUCCCACUCCGGUGUGGCAUUUGUUGCCUAUUAGUUUGUUAGGGUUGCUUUACACUCCUACACCACAGCACUCAAGAAGGAGCGGUUACCCUGUUGCUCACGCUCUGGAGCCUGGGAAGUCCAGGCCCGAGGUCAGGGCCCUGGCCCUGGUGAGGGUCUUCUUACCCCAUCCUCAGGUGGCCAAGGUGGAAGGACAAGAGGGUGCGAGCCCUCCCCCAGCCCCUGUGCGCAGCAGCCUCCUUCAUCUCCCAUGCCUGCCCCUGCCCCUCAAUGGCCAAGGCCUGGACCCUGGAGGACCCUUUCAGACCACAGCCUCUGCCAUCACAGAGCACCACAGCACGGUGGGCUCAGACAGCACAAACUACGAGCUCGUUCUGGAGACUGGAAGUCCAGGAAAGAACACUUUCUUCACCACCUGCAAACAGAAGACUGACAGGCCCAUUUUUUAGGUUGCUGACCGUCCCCAGUCAGACUAAGUAGGUGACCGUGGAAUGGCCCUCCCUGCUUUUCAGAGGCAAGAAACACUUCUCAAAGUUGCACAAAUGAAAUAAAUGUCAUGGUAUGGACUAGCACCAUACAAUCUUAGUGCGUAUCUCUGGGGGUUGU